rnacentral:lncRNA from 1 species
GUUCCUCUACUUUUCAUAUUUAAAAAUGUAGGUCCAAUGUUAAUACAGUAAAAAUUGUUUUGUCAAAUUCAGGUUCAUUACUACAAAUUUUUUUAAUUACAUAGCUACCAAGUGAGUGUUUUUUUUUAUUUCAAAAUGUUACACCAUCAAAUUUAACAGAAAAAAGUUUAAUGGCGUUAAUCAUUGGACUUGAAUUUUGAAAACAGAAAAGUAGAGGGGCUAAUUGCAAGAAAAAAAAAGUAUAGGGAAUAAAUUCCAAAUUUACAAAAGAGUACAAGGACUUAUAGCAUAUUUUAACCAUCCAAGUAACAUAGAUCUUAAGUGCUUAAUGCAGAUCCAAUGAGAAAGAACUUGGCAUCAAAACAAUCAUUACCAAAUGAAGUUGGUAACAAGCACCAAUCACAACUGAAUCUAGUUCAAUCAGUGUCCAUCAAAUAUAGGACCAUGGCUAACACUGAAAAGGUAACAAAGUUAUUAAGAAAUGAUAAAAUCUGAUAAGGAAGCAAGAAGAAUGCUAAUUCUUUUCAUUUAAAC